rnacentral:rRNA from 1 species
UAGGGAAUCUUCCGCAAUGGGCGAAAGCCUGACGGAGCAACGCCGCGUGAGUGAUGAAGGUCUUCGGAUCGUAAAACUCUGUUAUUAGGGAAGUACAAAUGUGUAAGUAACUAUGCACGUCUUGACGGUACCUAAUCAGAAAGCCACGGCUAACUACGUGCCAGCAGCCGCGGUAAUACGUAGGUGGCAAGCGUUAUCCGGAAUUAUUGGGCGUAAAGCGCGCGUAGGCGGUUUUUUAAGUCUGAUGUGAAAGCCCACGGCUCAACCGUGGAGGGUCAUUGGCAACUGGAAAACUUGAGUGCAGAAGAGGAAAGUGGAAUUCCAUGUGUAGCGGUGAAAUGCGCAGAGGUAUGGAGGAACACCAGUGGCGAAGGCGACUUUCUGGUCUGUAACUGACGCUGAUGUGCGAAAGCGUGGGGAUCAAACAGG